rnacentral:lncRNA from 1 species
CAAAUUAUUUUUCUUAUUGGUCGGUCCCAAUAUACUUAUAGAAGUGUUGUCAAGGUACGAACAAGUUGAGAGAGGGUAGUCUUGUGUUUAUUAGGCAUAUUCCAAUUUAGGAGAAAUCUUGGUUUCUUAUUUUCUCAUUUUCUCAGCCAUUAGAUUGUUUUAUUGAGAUUUAUGGACAUUGUGUACUCAACAUUCAUACAUCAAUCUAAUAAAUAAAGGGUUA